UCCUCUGUGCAGGCCACAGCCCAGGAAGCCAAGGCCCUCCUGGAUGCAGGGCAUCCUGGGAAGGGCACUGGGCUACUGACUACUGGCCAUCCUGGCUGGUGGCAACAGUGCCUGUCACCUGCAUCUGCUGGCUGCCUGAUCAAACUGCAUGAGUUUGGAGGCUUUGGGGGCCUGGACAAUGUGCUGUAGGAAGGUUCAGGGGAUGACAACCUCCCAAGAUGGAUAGAGACUUCUGCAAUUGGGGUUGCCUGCUGCUGAGCCUGAAGGACAAGGUGAGGGCAAAGAGGCCUUUGCCCAGGCCCUUAAGCUGGGGCUCACUUUGGCCGAGAAUAGCCUGUGCUGGGCCCCAACAGUACAGGUGUUUCUGUGUCAUGGACAAUGCUGCCUGGAGGAGCAGUGCUACACAGAGGCUUGGAUGACAGCCGAGAUCUUUCUCCUGGUGGACCCCGGUCACCAUGGCCUGAAGAGGCUGAAGGCCAGAAUCCAAAGAGAGGCAUCGUCAGAUUGCCAGCUCCAC
rnacentral:lncRNA from 1 species